rnacentral:rRNA from 1 species
UACGUAGGGUGCAAGCGUUGUCCGGAAUUAUUGGGCGUAAAGAGCUCGUAGGCGGUCUGUCGCGUCGGCUGUGAAAACCCGGGGCUCAACCCCGGGCCUGCAGUCGAUACGGGCAGACUAAAGUGCGGUAGGGGAGACUGGAAUUCCUGGUGUAGCGGUGAAAUGCGCAGAUAUCAGGAGGAACACCGGUGGCGAAGGCGGGUCUCUGGGCAUGUCCUGACGCUGAGGAGCGAAAGUGUGGGGAGCGAACAGG